rnacentral:rRNA from 1 species
CUACGGGGGGCUGCAGUGAGGAAUAUUGCACAAUGGGGGGAACCCUGAUGCAGCAACGCCGCGUGGAGGAUGACGCAUUUCGGUGUGUAAACUCCUUUUAUAUGUCAAGAAAAUGACGGUAGCAUAUGAAUAAGCACCGGCUAACUCCGUGCCAGCAGCCGCGGUAAUACGGAGGGUGCAAGCGUUACUCGGAAUCACUGGGCGUAAAGGACGCGUAGGCGGGUUGGAAAGUCAGGUGUGAAAUCCUGCAGCUUAACUGUAGAACUGCACUUGAAACUUCUAAUCUAGAGUAUGGGAGGGGGAGAUGGAAUUAGUGGUGUAGGGGUAAAAUCCGUAGAUAUCACUAGGAAUACCUAAAGCGAAGGCGAUCUCCUGGAACAUUACUGACGCUAAGGCGUGAAGGCGUGGGGAGCAAACAGGAUUAGAUACCCCUGUAGUC